CGAUACACCGGUAUCAAAUAAAGCGCGAAUUCUAAUGACAUCAAGUAAAAUGAUACCUGCGACCACAUCCUCGGCUGCUGCCGCCUCCUCGGUCUGAGCGGCGUACAUGCGCCCACUCGGGGCCUGUCGAGAUCCCUCGCUCUGGCGCUGGACGGGUGGCCGCCCAGGUUGGUACUGUGCCGAUGGAGUCCCCUGGCUGGCGGCUGGUAGAGCCGGUGCCGAUGCAGUCGACGGUGCCGGUGAAGAACCUCUUGGGCACUCAGUACGGACGUGGCCCUCCUGGCCACACUGGAAGCACCUGCCCGCCCGCUGUGGACAUUGCGGCGGGUAAUGAGGACCACCGUAGAUCACACACGGGGAAGGCCGGCGAUGAUCGGAUCCUCCUCGAUGCGCUGCUGAGCCGC
rnacentral:lncRNA from 1 species